UUGGUGUAGAUUUUCAUGUUAAAAAAAAAGAAAAAAAGAAAAAAAAAAGAAGGAAAAAAGCUACCGAGUUCAUCACAGCCAGAGUGGGAUUGUUAAGGGCAUAAGGGGAUCCGCAAUUAUUAGCACUUUUCUUCCUCCCGAGAGCCAGCUGGAAGAUGCCCUGGGGAGAUUCGUUAGAGGCUCCCAUUGCAGUGACUGCCGGCACCGGUCAGCCCCAGCCACGGUUUCGUCCCUCACCCGCGAUGCUGCACGCGUGAGCUGCCCAGCAGGGAACCGCUGCGGCCCCCCGGAGCGUGCUGCUGAGACCGGCGCACUCGGCACACGUGGUGGCCGGCACCGGCUGCAGAAUGGAAAGUCUUUCCCCCUGCCAAGUCCCUGUUAGACAGACGCUGCAGUACCGCACACGUUACAAAGAGCUUCUGGAUGGAUCUACGCUGAUGGAUCCAGCACCUGUAGAGAUUUUCUCCUUAAACACAGAACUGAGUGGAGCAAAACCGCCCGCUACCCAAGGCUGCCUGCACUGGUUUGGGUAAACAAGACCCUGUGCCUGCUGCAGUCCCUGCUAGUGCUCCUGGGGUUUCCUCCUCAGCUGUCUCACCUUGCAGAAUUAAGAUUUAAGCACAGUAAAGUCUUCAAAUCAGGUAUUUCCAAAGCGAGUGGAACAAGCUGGAGAAAGAGCAUCUGUUGCUUCAGACUUUGCUCAUUUGGCACUUGCAGUAUUCAGAGGCUGCAAAACGUGCACUCACUGUUGCUGCUGAAAAAAUAAAAUACAAAAUACAAUUCUG
rnacentral:lncRNA from 1 species